GCGGGCGUGGCGAAACUGGUAGACGCACUAGCCUUAGGAGCUAGCGAGGCAACUCUUGAGAGUUCAAAUCUCUCCGCCCGCA
rnacentral:tRNA from 1 species